rnacentral:rRNA from 1 species
CCAGCAAUGGGAGCGGCGGACGGGUGAGUAACACGUGGGAAUGUACCUUUCGGUGCGGAACAACUCAGGGAAACUUGAGCUAAUGCCGCAUACGCCCUUACGGGGAAAGAUUUAUCGCCGAAAGAUCAGCCCGCGUUGGAUUAGCUUGUUGGUGAGGUAAUGGCUCACCAAGGCGACGAUCCAUAGCUGGUUUGAGAGAACGACCAGCCACACUGGGACUGAGACACGGCCCAGACUCCUACGGGAGGCAGCAGUUGGGAAUCUUGGACAAUGGGGGAAACCCUGAUCCAGCCAUGCCGCGUGAGUGAUGAAGGCCUUCGGG